rnacentral:rRNA from 2 species
UGAGGAAUAUUGGUCAAUGGACGAGAGUCUGAACCAGCCAAGUAGCGUGAAGGAUGACUGCCCUAUGGGUUGUAAACUUCUUUUAUACGGGAAUAAAGUGAGGCACGUGUGCCUUUUUGUAUGUACCGUAUGAAUAAGGAUCGGCUAACUCCGUGCCAGCAGCCGCGGUAAUACGGAGGAUCCGAGCGUUAUCCGGAUUUAUUGGGUUUAAAGGGAGCGUAGGCGGACGCUUAAGUCAGUUGUGAAAGUUUGCGGCUCAACCGUAAAAUUGCAGUUGAUACUGGGUGUCUUGAGUACAGUAGAGGCAGGCGGAAUUCGUGGUGUAGCGGUGAAAUGCUUAGAUAUCACGAAGAACUCCGAUUGCGAAGGCAGCUUGCUGGACUGUAACUGACGCUGAUGCUCGAAAGUGUGGGUAUCAAACAGGAUUAGAUACCCUGGUAGUCCACACAGUAAACGAUGAAUACUCGCUGUUUGCGAUAUACAGUAAGCGGCCAAGCGAAAGCGUUAAGUAUUCCACCUGGGGAGUACGCCGGCAACGGUGAAACUCAAAGGAAUUGACGGGGGCCCGCACAAGCGGAGGAACAUGUGGUUUAAUUCGAUGAUACGCGAGGAACCUUACCCGGGCUUGAAUUGCAACUGAAUGAUGUGGAGACAUGUCAGCCGCAAGGCAGUUGUGAAGGUGCUGCAUGGUUGUCGUCAGCUCGUGCCGUGAGGUGUCGGCUUAAGUGCCAUAACGAGCGCAACCCUUAUCGAUAGUUACCAUCAGGUUAUGCUGGGGACUCUGUCGAGACUGCCGUCGUAAGAUGUGAGGAAGGUGGGGAUGACGUCAAAUCAGCACGGCCCUUACGUCCGGGGCUACACACGUGUUACAAUGGGGGGUACAGAAGGCAGCUACACGGCGACGUGAUGCUAAUCCCGAAAGCCUCUCUCAGUUCGGAUUGGAGUCUGCAACCCGACUCCAUGAAGCUGGAUUCGCUAGUAAUCGCGCAUCAGCCACGGCGCGGUGAAUACGUUCCC